ACGCUCGACACCUACGGGGCAGCAGUAGGGAAUCUUCCACAAUGGACGCAAGUCUGAUGGAGCAACGCCGCGUGAGUGAAGAAGGUCUUCGGAUCGUAAAACUCUGUUGUUAGAGAAGAACACGAGUGAGAGUAACUGUUCAUUCGAUGACGGUAUCUAACCAGCAAGUCACGGCUAACUACGUGCCAGCAGCCGCGGUAAUCUGAGCGGGCUGGCAAGGC
rnacentral:rRNA from 1 species